GCAGUCGAGGGGCAGCAUCAUCAAAGCUUGCUUUGAUGGAUGGCGACCGGCGUACGGGUGAGUAACACGUAUCCAACCUGCCGACAACACUGGGAUAGCCUUUCGAAAGAAAGAUUAAUACCGGAUGGCAUAGUUUUCCCGCAUGGGAUAAUUAUUAAAGAAUUUCGGUUGUCGAUGGGGAUGCGUUCCAUUAGGCAGUUGGCGGGGUAACGGCCCACCAAACCAACGAUGGAUAGGGGUUCUGAGAGGAAGGUCCCCCACAUUGGAACUGAGACACGGUCCAAACUCCUACGGGAGGCAGCAGUGAGGAAUAUUGGUCAAUGGACGAGAGUCUGAACCAGCCAAGUAGCGUGAAGGAUGACUGCCCUAUGGGUUGUAAACUUCUUUUAUACGGGAAUAAAGUUAGCCACGUGUGGCUUUUUGUAUGUACCGUAUGAAUAAGGAUCGGCUAACUCCGUGCCAGCAGCCGCGGUAAUACGGAGGAUCCGAGCGUUAUCCGGAUUUAUUGGGUUUAAAGGGAGCGUAGGCGGGUUGUUAAGUCAGUUGUGAAAGUUUGCGGCUCAACCGUAAAAUUGCAGUUGAUACUGGCGACCUUGAGUGCAACAGAGGUAGGCGGAAUUCGUGGUGUAGCGGUGAAAUGCUUAGAUAUCACGAAGAACUCCGAUUGCGAAGGCAGCUUACUGGAUUGUAACUGACGCUGAUGCUCGAAAGUGUGGGUAUCAAACAGGAUUAGAUACCCUGGUAGUCCACACAGUAAACGAUGAAUACUCGCUGUUGGCGAUAUACAGUCAGCGGCCAAGCGAAAGCAUUAAG
rnacentral:rRNA from 1 species